CAGCAGCCGCGGUAAUACGUAGGGUGCAAGCGUUAAUCGGAUUUACUGGGCGUAAAGCGUGCGUAGGCGGCUAAUUGAGUCGGAUGUGAAAUCCCCGAGCUUAACUUGGGAAUUGCAUUCGAUACUGGUUAGCUAGAGUGUGGCAGAGGAUGGUAGAAUUCCAGGUGUAGCGGUGAAAUGCGUAGAGAUCUGGAGGAAUACCGAUGGCGAAGGCAGCCAUCUGGCCUAACACUGACGCUGAGGUACGAAAGCAUGGGGAGCAAACAGGAUUAGAGACCCGCGUAGUCCCUGUCUCUUAUAC
rnacentral:rRNA from 1 species